GUACGAGCGCAACCCUGUCCUUAGUUACCAGCACGUUAUGGUGGGCACUCUAAGGAGACUGCCGGUGACAAACCGGAGGAAGGUGGGGAUGACGUCAAGUCAUCAUGGCCCUUACGGCCUGGGCUACACACGUGCUACAAUGGUCGGUACAAAGGGUUGCCAAGCCGCGAGGUGGAGCUAAUCCCAUAAAACCGAUCGUAGUCCGGAUCGCAGUCUGCAACUCGACUGCGUGAAGUCGGAAUCGCUAGUAAUCGUGAAUCAGAAUGUCACGGUGAAUACGUUCCCGGGCCUU
rnacentral:rRNA from 1 species